UACGAAGGGGGCUAGCGUUGCUCGGAAUCACUGGGCGUAAAGGGUGCGUAGGCGGGUCUUUAAGUCAGGGGGGAAAUCCUGGAGCUCAACUCCAGAACUGCCUUUGAUACUGAAGAUCUUGAGUUCGGGAGAGGUGAGUGGAACUGCGAGUGUAGAGGUGAAAUUCGUAGAUAUUCGGAAGAACACCAGUGGCGAAGGCGACACACUGGCCCGUUACUGACGCUGAGGCGCGAAAGCGUGGGGAGCAAACAGG
rnacentral:rRNA from 1 species